GUUUUUUUUUACACUGGUGCAGUUGGUUAGAGCGUGGUGCUGAUAAUGCCAAGGCUGCAGGUUCGAUCCCUGUAUGGGACA